rnacentral:rRNA from 1 species
CAGUAGCCGCGGUAAUACGUAGGUCCCGAGCGUUGUCCGGAUUUAUUGGGCGUAAAGCGAGCGCAGGCGGUUAGAUAAGUCUGAAGUUAAAGGCUGUGGCUUAACCAUAGUACGCUUUGGAAACUGUUUAACUUGAGUGCAAGAGGGGAGAGUGGAAUUCCAUGUGUAGCGGUGAAAUGCGUAGAUAUAUGGAGGAACACCGGUGGCGAAAGCGGCUCUCUGGCUUGUAACUGACGCUGAGGCUCGAAAGCGUGGGGAGCAAACAGGAUUAGAGACCCCGGUAGUCCCUGUCUCUUAUACA